UACGUAGGUGGCAAGCGUUGUCCGGAAUUAUUGGGCGUAAAGCGCGCGCAGGCGGUCCUUUAAGUCUGAUGUGAAAGCCCACGGCUCAACCGUGGAAGGUCAUUGGAAACUGGGGGACUUGAGUGCAGAAGAGGAAAGUGGAAUUCCACGUGUAGCGGUGAAAUGCGUAGAGAUGUGGAGGAACACCAGUGGCGAAGGCGGCUUUCUGGUCUGUAACUGACGCUGAGGCGCGAAAGCGUGGGGAGCAAACAGG
rnacentral:rRNA from 1 species